rnacentral:rRNA from 1 species
CGAAGAAAUGCGAGAGUGCCUUUCGGAGCCGGAAAACAGGUGCUGCAUGGCUGUCGUCAGCUCGUGUCGUGAGAUGUUGGGUUAAGUCCCGCAACGAGCGCAACCCUCGUUCUUAGUUACUAACGGUUCGGCCGAGCACUCUAGAUAGACUGCCUUCGUAAGGAGGGAGGAAAGGUGAGGACGACGUCAAGUCAUCAUGCCCCUUACGGCCAGGGCGACACACGUGCUACAAUGGUAAGUACAAAGAGAAGCUUUACCGCGAGUUGGAGCAAAUCUAAUAAACCUGAUCUUAGUUCGGAUUGUAGUCUGCAACUCGACUGCAUGAAGCUGGAAUCACUAGUAAUCGUAGAUCAGCAGUGCCACGGUGAAUACGUUCCCGGGUCUUGUACUCACCGCCCGUCACACCAUGGGAGUUGAUUUCACCCGAAGCGGGGAAGCUAA